AUAGUUUUUUACAUAUAUUUUUUAUCUAUCUACCAAAUUUCAUUGAAAAAUAUUAUUGAGCAGAUAGUCUAUAAAAGUGAGCAGUUUUGGUACCUCAUUUCUGUUUUUCUGAUUUCCGUAAGUGGGUGGUAAGAGGGGUACAAACAAGUUGAAUUUUAUUUGUGUGACUUGUUUAUAGUUUCUAAAAUUUUAUUGGUUUCAUUGAAAUUGAAAACAUAAGCGUUGAUUACUAUAAUUCUAGCUAUAGGUUGUGGGUAACCAUUACCACCCUAUUUAACAAACUUCUCAACUUAACCAAAAUUUACGAAUAGCAGCGGAAAGACUUUUUUUUCAAAAGUAGGCUCGGUUGUGGUCUUUAUCUUUAGCUUGUAGGUUAUACUUGGUGCAAAAAGCCUAAUUCAGGUUGGGGGGGGGCACACGCCCCUCCCACAAGUCAAUAAGCACACCACCAAUAAAUGAAUUUCUUGUAGCAAAAAAAAUUUUUAUGUUUUUUAUACUGUAUACUAGUUUCACUUAUUUUAUUAAA